ensembl:snRNA U6 U6 spliceosomal RNA
GUGCUCACGUUGGCAGCAUAUAUACUAAAAUUGGAAUGAUACAGAGAAGAUUAGCAUGACCCCUGGGCAAGGAUGACAUACAAAUUCAUGAAGUGUUCCAUAUUUUU